UCAGUUUUCAUAAUUCAAUUUUCACAACUCAUAACUCAAACUUACUACUCAUAACUCAAAUUCCACUUUCGCUCAUAAACCCCAAAACAUUUGUUUGGUUUAAAAACCAAAUCACAUAUCUCACCUUUUUAACCCAACUUUUUGCCAAAACCGUGGACCCACCACUGACACUACACAUGUGUUCACUGUUGGCUACUCGCGUCCCCUUCUUCCACACUUCCCUCUCCUUCAUUUGAUCCCAUCAGAAAAGCCAUGCUGUUCUUCGCUCACCUCCCACAUCAACGCACGGGCACAACAAAACAGAAAAGCCAUUUACGCCUCGCCCUUCGCUGAAUUGAGAUCGUGGUCAAGGGCCAAUGAGCACAAAUCAGGAGUUCAAUAUCUCUCUGUGAUAUUGCUUUGUUUGGAUUUGAUUUAGAACCAACCUAAGGACUGGAUCUAUUCUACUUCACCUCUAAAAAUAUAUGGAGAUGUUGGGUCUCUAAUGUUUGCCAAAAUAUAUGUGUAUUACCCUUCUCUUCAAUUGAACCAAAUUUCAUACUUUUGAAGCAUCCAGGAAGUUUGUAAUUGGCUACACUGGACUCAAUUGCAGCAUUGCUGGACCUACAAUGAACAAACUGUGAUUAUUCAAAACAA